CCAUAAUAACACUUUGUUUUAGGAGGCACACACAGCACAUUACAAGACAUCAAGCUGCCUCAGAGAGCUGGAGGAUAUUGGUAUAAGGAUUCAAAGAAGGCCAACACUAGAAAUCGUUUUAUAUACUGGCAAACUACAUCAGACGCUAUUGAGCUAUCAGAGGCCUCGCUAGAUGUGAACCUAACUAGCAGUAACCUACGAUGCAAAGUGGCUCCGGGAACACCACCCCUCAGCGGGAUGUCUGUUUAUGAGAGGACAUCUUCCCAGGACAUUGUUAUCUUAGCUGCAACUGUAUCAUCAGUCCAUAGACUCAUAUUUCCACAUCCAGAGAGUAUUGAUAAAAAGUCCACCUUUGGUUCUAUGAGCAGCUCUACCCCUUCAAUAUUCCAUGACACUGGCGCCAUCAAUAAUCCUAAUAAUUAUCACAUUCUUAAUCAGUAUUCUAAUCCAACAACUGGGGUGGCUCAUACUUGCGCAUCCCUCCUCCUUGACAAUGGUGAAGCGGUAUUUGCUCUUGCAUUUGGCUAUGGCGGGGAAGGUGGCUUGUUACUAGUCAAGCUGCCUGUUGCUGGGUCAGCUGUAACUACGUUAUUGAAGAGAGAGUCUACAGUGCCGAGAUUUUUGUCUGGCAUCACUGGAGCACUUAGAGGAAAAAAUGUAGACAGCAUAGAGACAUAUGGCGUAGUGCUCACCCACGGCCUGGCCAUAGCGAUAUGCGGCGACGCGUGCCUCCGCGCGUGGGCUAUCAACGAUGGCGGGGCACCUUGCGUGGUCACCCCGCCGCUGUCGCAGACCGUCGUGCGGCCCAAACCGCCCCCACACGGUCAUAUGCUACAAAAGACCACCGGGCCAAACGGAGACGUGACACUAGUCGCGUAUCUCUCGUUCCCCAACGAGUGCGAAUUCGUCGUCAUGAAGAUGCUGGACGCUGGCGCGGGCGCCGUCAAGUUCUCACACGUUUGUCUCAUCUUUGGACCACAGAAAUAUUAUCCUGUGUUCCAGCUGGAUCUUCUGGAUUAUACAAUAGGGUACGGAGAUGGCAGUGACGUCAUUUGGGCCCUGUGGAGUCAACCUGAUGGAGAAACUAUCAUAACAAGCAGCACCCUGAGCGCGGAGGUGUCAUGGCGCAUGGUGGCGCCCCGGGAGCCGCCGCCGCCGCUGCCCGCGCUGUCUUCUCACCAGCAGUACCGCGAGCGGCUGCUCACGCCGGGCCUGUUCCCGCCGCAGGUGGUGCGGAAGGCUCUAGCCAUCUACCGGCGAACAUGGGGCAGCAGCGAAUCGGCGAGCGAGGGCGACCUGAGCGAGUCGGCCAUGAACGCGGUGCAGACGCGCCUGCGGCACCUCACCGCCCGCGCCGCCUCGCCCGACCACUCGCACUUGAUGCACAAAUGCUGGUCGGAUUUGUAUAGCUGGUGUAUGCAGUACAUGGAGGGUCUACAAAAGCCUUUGGGGUUAAUGGUUGCUAAAUCGAGCUGUGACGUGGAUAGCGGAUGGUGGUGCGGCGUAGUGGGGCGUGCGGGCAUCUCCCUCGUGCGCGAACUGGAGCCGCUCGAGCGUAUGAUGUUGUCGCCAGAUGUCGCCGCGCUCGAGUCAGGACUGGGUGGUGCGGGCGAGCUGAGCGCGGACGCGGUGCGCGUGGUGGCGGCGGGCGCGCUGUGGGAGCGCGCCGCGUCGGGCGCCGGCGCCGCCGAGCUGGAGCGGCGGCUGUUCGCGUGCGCCGCGCCGCAGCACCGCCUGCUGCCGCGCCUGCUGCACCUGCUGCUCGCGCCGCCCGACCGGCCCGACCCCGACUCCGCGUUACCGACAUUGGCGCCGAGCCAAAUAGACGAACUGGAAGCAGUCCUGGAACCCAUCAAAGACUUGCAGAAUGCCGUCUUGGAACUAAACGACGCCCUGAGACUGGAUGUACCCGACAUAGAUACAUCAAAAUGCGAAGACGAAGACCUAAGAGAAUACGACAGUUUAUUUGCCAGCGACCUUGGCGUUUCAAUCUUAACAGAAUCCAUACGUCAGAUGGCUGAAAUGAGGUUACGCGUGGUUCGCGGCGCGCUAGUGGCGCUGGGCGUGGUGCGCGGCGCGGGCGGCGUGCCCGGCGCCGGCCACUGCGCCGUGCACUGGCAGGCCUACCGCGCGCUGCUGUGGCUGCGCGCCGCCACGCUGCAGCGAGGGGGCGCGGGCUCGCUGGAGCUGUUCCGGCUGAAGCUGGGCGCGCUGGGCGGCGCGGCGGUGGGGGGGGCGGGGGCGGGGGCGGCGGGCGGCGCAUGCGCGGGCUACGCGGCGGGGGCGGGCGGCGCGCGCGCCCGCCGCCACCUCGCGCACGCGCGGGCCGCCACGCACUGGCACCAGGCGCUGCCGCUGCUCACAUACCAUCUGGCGCAUCAGCUAUGGGCGGUGAGUGGAGGCUUCGAAUUCGGAUGGUGGCUGGCCUCCAUCAACCAGCCGCGUUUGGUACAAAGCUAUGUCUCGAUGCUCGAGCCUUGGUGCGAGUGGAACGCUUGCUCUCGCCAAUUCAUCCUCGGCCUGUCUCUCCUGGACCUCUCGGACGCGGAAGGCGCGUACACGGCCUUCUGUAAAGCAGCGAAGGGAGUCAGUACGGAGCCGUUCCUGCGGCAGCUGGUGGCGGCGCCCGACGCGCGCCUCACGCAGCACCAGGCGCUAGUGCUCUAUUAUAUGAAGGUGAUCAAACUCUUCGAGAUCCACGACGCAGGCGCGUGUGUGGUGCGUCUCGCGGAGACCGCCAUCAGCAUCGCCGACAAGAACGAUCCCAAUUUGCCGAUGUUCCAGUGGGUGGUGUUCAAGUGGCACCUGGCGGGCGGGCGCGUGGAGCGCGCGCUCGGCGCCGCAGCCGCCAACCCCGCGCCGCACGCGCGCGCCGCCGCCGCCGCCACGCUGCUUACUACGCUGGCAUCCCGAAAACAGCUUAGCGCCCUUGUGUCAUGCGGCGCGCUAGCGGCAGAGGCGGAGCGCGCGGCGGCCGCGCGCGCCAAACUGCACGACGCGCACGGCGACAACCCCUACUACGACUUCUUAUACGCCCUGCACAUAUCUAGGCAUCAUUAUAGAAAAGCCGCCUCAAUAAUGUACGAGCGCGCGGCCCGCUGCGCCGCGGAGCGGUCGGAGGCGGCGGACGGCGGGCGCGCGCGCUGGCUGGCGGCCGCGCUCACGUGUCUGCGGCUCGCCAAGCCCGAGCACGCCUUCCUGGCGCGACCCGCGCCGCGCGCGCUGCAGGUGUGUGUCUCUAUACUGUACGGUCGGAGGCGGCGGACGGCGGGCGCGCGCGCUGGCUGGCGGCCGCGCUCACGUGUCUGCGGCUCGCCAAGCCCGAGCACGCCUUCCUGGCGCGACCCGCGCCGCGCGCGCUGCAGGUGUGUGUCUCUAUACUGUACGGUCGGAGGCGGCGGACGGCGGGCGCGCGCGCUGGCUGGCGGCCGCGCUCACGUGUCUGCGGCUCGCCAAGCCCGAGCACGCCUUCCUGGCGCGACCCGCGCCGCGCGCGCUGCAGGUGUGUGUCUCUAUACUGUACGGUCGGAGGCGGCGGACGGCGGGCGCGCGCGCUGGCUGGCGGCCGCGCUCACGUGUCUGCGGCUCGCCAAGCCCGAGCACGCCUUCCUGGCGCGACCCGCGCCGCGCGCGCUGCAGGUGUGUGUCUCUAUACUGUACGGUCGGAGGCGGCGGACGGCGGGCGCGCGCGCUGGCUGGCGGCCGCGCUCACGUGUCUGCGGCUCGCCAAGCCCGAGCACGCCUUCCUGGCGCGACCCGCGCCGCGCGCGCUGCAGGUGUGUGUCUCUAUACUGUACGGUCGGAGGCGGCGGACGGCGGGCGCGCGCGCUGGCUGGCGGCCGCGCUCACGUGUCUGCGGCUCGCCAAGCCCGAGCACGCCUUCCUGGCGCGACCCGCGCCGCGCGCGCUGCAGGUGUGUGUCUCUAUACUGUACGGUCGGAGGCGGCGGACGGCGGGCGCGCGCGCUGGCUGGCGGCCGCGCUCACGUGUCUGCGGCUCGCCAAGCCCGAGCACGCCUUCCUGGCGCGACCCGCGCCGCGCGCGCUGCAGGUGUGUGUCUCUAUACUGUACGGUCGGAGGCGGCGGACGGCGGGCGCGCGCGCUGGCUGGCGGCCGCGCUCACGUGUCUGCGGCUCGCCAAGCCCGAGCACGCCUUCCUGGCGCGACCCGCGCCGCGCGCGCUGCAGGUGUGUGUCUCUAUACUGUACGGUCGGAGGCGGCGGACGGCGGGCGCGCGCGCUGGCUGGCGGCCGCGCUCACGUGUCUGCGGCUCGCCAAGCCCGAGCACGCCUUCCUGGCGCGACCCGCGCCGCGCGCGCUGCAGGUGUGUGUCUCUAUACUGUACGGUCGGAGGCGGCGGACGGCGGGCGCGCGCGCUGGCUGGCGGCCGCGCUCACGUGUCUGCGGCUCGCCAAGCCCGAGCACGCCUUCCUGGCGCGACCCGCGCCGCGCGCGCUGCAGGUGUGUGUCUCUAUACUGUACGGUCGGAGGCGGCGGACGGCGGGCGCGCGCGCUGGCUGGCGGCCGCGCUCACGUGUCUGCGGCUCGCCAAGCCCGAGCACGCCUUCCUGGCGCGACCCGCGCCGCGCGCGCUGCAGGUGAUCGGACCUGACGAGCUAGCAGCAGAACUCCGUGAAGAAGUGCCAGACUCCCUCGAUCCCGUACAGCAGGCGUUGCUUGGAGGCGGAAAUAUCGAUUUCGAUGGGCUCUACCCGCAUCUGAAAGACGCGAGUGCUGA